CAUGCAAGUCGAACGGCAGCGCGGACUUCGGUCUGGCGGCGAGUGGCGAACGGGUGAGUAAUAUAUCGGAACGUGCCUAGUAGCGGGGGAUAACUACUCGAAAGAGUAGCUAAUACCGCAUACGCCCUACGGGGGAAAGGGGGGGAUCGCAAGGACUCUCACUAUUAGAGCGGCCGAUAUCGGAUUAGCUAGUUGGUGGGGUAAAGGCCCACCAAGGCGACGAUCCGUAGCUGGUUUGAGAGGACGACCAGCCACACUGGGACUGAGACACGGCCCAGACUCCUACGGGAGGCAAGCAGUGGGGAAUUUUGGACAAUGGGGGAAACCCUGAUCCAGCCAUUCCGCGUGUGCGAUGAAGGCCUUCGGGUUGUAAAGCACUUUUGGCAGGAAAGAAAUAGCACAAUUUAAUACUUUGUGUUGAUGACGGUACCUGCAGAAUAA
rnacentral:rRNA from 1 species